rnacentral:rRNA from 1 species
AUACUGACGCUCAGUCACGAAAGCGUGGGGAGCAAAUAGGCUUAGAUACCCUAGUAGUCCACGCCGUAAACGUUGAGGACCUGAUGCCGGAGUAUUUCGGUGUCGUAGCUAACGCGUUAAGUCCUCCGCCUGGGUACUACGUUCGCAAGAAUAAAACUUAAAGGAAUUGACGGGGGCCCGCACAAGCAGUGGAGCAUGUGGUUUAAUUCGUCGCUACGCGAAAAACCUUACCAGGGUUUGACAUCCCGCUAAAAGUCUUGGAAACAAGAUCAUAGUUAUAGCGGUGAAAGGUGGUGCAUGGUUGUCGUCAGCUCGUGUCGUGAGAUGUUGGGUUAAGUCCCCUAACGAGCGCAACCCUUGUCUCUAUUUGCCAUCAUUAAGUUGGGAACUAUAGAGAGACUGCCGGUGCAAACCGGAGGAAGAUGGGGAUGACGUCAAAUCAUCAUGCCCCUUAUGCCCUGGGCCACACACGUGCUACAAUGGCCGGUACAGAGAGAAGCAAUCCCGUGAGGAGGAGCAAAUCUCACAAAGCCGGUCUCAGUUCGGAUUGGAGUCUGCAACUCGACUCCAUGAAGCUGGAAUUGCUAGUAAUCGCAGAUCAGCAUUGCUGCGGUGAAUACGUUCCCGGGCCUUGUACACACUGCCCGUCACACCAUGAGAGUCGGCAAUACUCGAAGUCGUUAUCUUAACCUGCAAGGGAGGGAGGCGCCUAAGGUAGGGCUGAUGAUUGGGGUUAAGUCGUAACAAGGUAUCCCUACGGGAACGUGGGGAUG